rnacentral:misc_RNA from 1 species
ACAGACGAAGGUGAUUACCAAAUCAAGCUUCGUAACUUAACUAAGUUUCUUGAAGGUGGCGAUAAGGCUAAAAUCACAAUUCGUUUCCGCGGUCGUGAAAUGGCGCAUCAAGAUAUCGGUAUCACUUUAUUAAAUCGUAUAAAAGACGAUUUACAAGAGAUAGCUUUAGUAGAAUCAUUUCCAAGACGUGCCGAAGGCCGUCAAAUGGUAAUGAUGAUGUCUCCAGUAGCUAAAAAAUAAAUUUAAGUGCUUUUGCAUUUAAAUAAAAAUUUAAACUAGGUCUACAAGUUAAGCCUUAUUUUUAUAAGGCUUCACCUAGUUUAACCGGCA